GCAGCCGCGGUAAUACGUAGGGGGCAAGCGUUAUCCGGAUUUACUGGGUGUAAAGGGAGCGUAGACGGCAAUGCAAGUCUGAUGUGAAAACCCGGGGCUCAACCGCGGGAUUGCAUUGGAAACUGUAUAGCUUGAGUACUGGAGGGGCAGGCGGAAUUCCUGGUGUAGCGGUGAAAUGCGUAGAUAUCAGGAGGAACACCGGUGGCGAAGGCGGCCUGCUGGACAGAGACUGACGUUGAGGCUCGAAAGCGUGGGGAGCAAACAGGAUUAGAUACCCC
rnacentral:rRNA from 1 species